GGCUUAGAGUUUGAUCAUGGCUCAGGAUGAACGCUAGCGACAGGCCUAACACAUGCAAGUCGAGGGGCAGCGGAGAGGUAGCAAUACCUUUGCCGGCGACCGGCGCACGGGUGAGUAACACGUAUGCAAUCCACCUGUAACAGGGGGAUAACCCGGAGAAAUCCGGACUAAUACCCCAUAAUAUGGGCUCUCCGCAUGGAGGGUCCAUUAAAGAGAGCAAUUUUGGUUACAGACGAGCAUGCGCUCCAUUAGCCAGUUGGCGGGGUAACGGCCCACCAAAGCGACGAUGGAUAGGGGUUCUGAGAGGAAGGUCCCCCACAUUGGAACUGAGACACGGUCCAAACUCCUACGGGAGGCAGCAGUGAGGAAUAUUGGUCAAUGGUCGGCAGACUGAACCAGCCAAGUCGCGUGAGGGAAGACGGCCCUACGGGUUGUAAACCUCUUUUGUCGGAGAGUAAAGUACGCUACGUGUAGCGUAUUGCAAGUAUCCGAAGAAAAAGCAUCGGCUAACUCCGUGCCAGCAGCCGCGGUAAUACGGAGGAUGCGAGCGUUAUCCGGAUUUAUUGGGUUUAAAGGGUGCGUAGGCGGCACGCCAAGUCAGCGGUGAAAUUUUCGGGCUCAACCCGGACUGUGCCGUUGAAACUGGCGAGCUAGAGUGCACAAGAGGCAGGCGGAAUGCGUGGUGUAGCGGUGAAAUGCAUAGAUAUCACGCAGAACCCCGAUUGCGAAGGCAGCCUGCUAGGGUGCGACAGACGCUGAGGCACGAAAGCGUGGGUAUCGAACAGGAUUAGAUACCCUGGUAGUUCACGCAGUAAACGAUGAAUACUAACUGUUUGCGAUACAAUGUAAGCGGUACAGCGAAAGCGUU
rnacentral:rRNA from 1 species